GAACAGGAGGGCAAUCCAACCAUGAGAACUGUCACCGCACUGAUUGCCAGGAUUGAUUCGGCAGAUCUGGCUGGCUUCCUCCCUCACUGCCUCAUCUCCACGCCUUCCAAAGUUGCACUGGUCUUGCCUGAAAAGAGACCUUUGGUAGAGGGUAUCAGCGUAGCAAUAUUCUUCUGCUAGAAGCUUCAAGCAAGCUCUCAAAGUGUAGGUACUAAUUGUCCAGCGAGAAUUGCUUAGGAGUAGAGUAUAAUUAAUGCACACUUUCCUUGUGUGUUACACAACUGAAAAAUUCA
rnacentral:snRNA from 1 species